rnacentral:tRNA from 1 species
GGAUUAGCGCAAUUGGCAGAGCAACUGAUUUGUAAUCAGUAGGUUGGGGGUUCGAGUCCCUUAUCCGG